rnacentral:rRNA from 1 species
UACGUAGGGGGCAAGCGUUAUCCGGAUUUACUGGGUGUAAAGGGGGCGCAGACGGCGCGGCAAGUCCGGAGUGAAAUCCCAGGGCCCAACCCUGGGGCUGCUCUGGAAACUGCCGGGCUGGAGUGCUGGAGGGGCAGGCGGAAUUCCUAGUGUAGCGGUGAAAUGCGUAGAUAUUAGGAGGAACACCGGUGGCGAAGGCGGCCUGCUGGACAGCGACUGACGUUGAGGCCCGAAAGCGUGGGGAGCAAACA